rnacentral:rRNA from 1 species
GGAAUAUUGCGCAAUGGAGGAAACUCUGACGCAGUGACGCCGCGUGCAGGAUGAAGGUUUUCGGAUUGUAAACUGCUUUAGAUAGGGAAGAAAAAAAUGACGGUACCUAUAGAAUAAGCUCCGGCUAACUACGUGCCAGCAGCCGCGGUAAUACGUAGGGAGCAAGCGUUAUCCGGAUUUAUUGGGUGUAAAGGGUGCGUAGACGGAUUUGCAAGUUGGCUGUGAAAUCCCGAGGCUUAACUUCGGAAUUGCAACCAAAACUACAAGUCUUGAGUACUGGAGGGGAAUGCGGAAUUCCUAGUGUAGCGGUGAAAUGCGUAGAUAUUAGGAAGAACACCGGUGGCGAAGGCGGCAUUCUGGACAGUAACUGACGUUGAGGCACGAAAGUGUGGGGAGCAAACA